UUUUUUUUUUUUUUUUUUUUUUUUUUUAAACAAUUCAAAAGGGAUAAUCCUACUGAAUGGGGAAAGGCAUUCGGACCGGUCCCCGGCUGCCCGGACAGGGGCCACUAGCGGUGCUGGGGGGGGCGGGCACCCCAACCCGGGCCGGUGCCAGACGUGCCAGGCUCAGGAGCUGGUUGUCAGCAGGUUCGGGGCACCUCCUUCCCCUUCCCGGCUCCCACCCCGUCUCCAGUGGGGCACAGGGUGGCGGGGCAGGACGAACAGCGCCCCCUGGAGUUGUGCAACGCACUUCCCACGGCGUGGGAAAUGCCUGGCCGCCCCUUCCCGGUCCUCCCUUAGCUGCCACUCUCCCAUCUCGCUGUGGGUCCAGUACUGGACCCCGCACUUAGUGGCGGUGUCAUCUCCAUCUCUCUAAGCUUCAGUUUCCUGAUCAAAGGCAGGUCCAGGAAGUGAUCUGGUCUGGAAGGGUGACAACCUGGGGUGCUCUCUUGGCUUGGAUCUGGGAGCCUGGGCGCCCGGGGGUUGUAGUCGGAGCCCUGAGGCUCGCCGGUAAGCUCUAGCACCACUCCGUAGAUGCUCCCCUAGUUGCCCGCUUUCCCUGCCCAUAUGUCAUCUCAGAGACUCGGCACAGACAGGGUUGGGAGCACAGAGAGGGGAAAAAGACCAAAAAAGGCCCACGGCUGAGGGAAAUGAACAGAAACUGGAGGGAUUCAUGUGCAAUUUGAUUUUAAAUGAACAUCUUGUGCAAAAGAAGAGGCAACUUGGCAGUGUUAGUGUCCCUCAGAUGGGGCGUGCUGUGCCUUGGCCAAGCUUGGAUUCCCCGGAAACAGACCAUUUCGACCAUGCCUCUUUCAAAUGAUCUGAACUUCCUGUUCUUCUGGUGGUUCUGAGCUUCAUGGAAAUGGUGGUGGCCAGAGGCAGGUUGAAGAUUAAGAAGAAGGUAAGGGCCAAUCACAGAGGAAAGAAAAACACAAAAGUGAUUUUUUUUUCCCCUUGAAAAUUAUUUCUACCAAUUCAAAAAUAGAAAAGGCCAUCUCAGCUGUGAUAAGGAGGGUCAGAGGAUCAGUAUAGGCUGUGGGAAAAGGGAAUUCCUAAAGACCACGGAUGCUGAGUGGAGAGGUUGGUUCUGCCUGGGCAGAGAAGGUGACAUCUGAGAUGCUUCUUUAGGAUAGAGAGGAGUUUUCCUGCAGCAAGAAGCACGUCAGGGCUGAGUGGGGCACGGACAAGGCAGAGAGAUGGAAGAUCACACAGAGGGCUUGGGUCACCUGGGAGACACAGGUGCCAGGUGCAUUGGCAUAGGGCGCUUGGGUGAAGACAGCAGAACUGAAAUGGAAAGUAGAGGCCAUUGAAAUGGUCUUGUCUGUCCUGAUAAGAAACUUGGACUUUAUUUGGGAGGAAAUGGAGAGCAUUUGCAGACUUUCAAACUGGUAGGAGAGACGGGCGGUGAAGAAUAGUCUUCAAACUUCAGGUUACGCCGUGAAAGUCAUGUCAUGAAUGGACUUCAGAAAUGGAAUGGAUGAGUACAGAAUGGGAUAGAAAAUAUCAAAAUAUAUGCAUGCAGUAAGUGCUGGAUCGUGAAAUGCAUGCAUCUAUGUGUAUGAUUGUGUGUGCAUUCUGGUCAUGAUACAAAAGGUACUUAUUGGAGUUCCUGCUGUGGCACAGUGGGUUAAGAAUCUGACUGCAGUGGCUCAGGUCACUGCAGAGAUGAGGGUUCGAUCCCUGGCUACAUGCAAUGGGUUAAAGUAUCCUGCUCUGCUGCAGCUGUGGCAUAGGUCACAGCUGCUUCGUUUCCCUUCACGGCCUGGGAACCUCAAUAUGCUGUGG
ensembl:lncRNA